ACCACUUAGCAUCUCGUUAUGUGGGUGGUCUUGAUGGGGUUCAGAGAAAACGUAAAUUCUGCUGUUUGGGUUGCAAUUGUGGCCCUAGGCUUUAUGGGAGACUGUACUGAGGACUCAUUACUAAGUUCUUCUUGCCUCCAGAAGGCAUAUGUGAGAAUUGCUCCUCAGAUUCCGCCAAGUUUCUGAGCAAGGUGUGAAGGCUGAUGGUGGUCUGUAGAAGUAGGAGCUCAAACUUCAUGCCCCUGGAGAAGAGAAAUACGUAGUUUUCACUUUAUGACAAAUGAUUCUUGGAAUCCCGGAAGAUCCUCUGUUUGACUCAAAGUAUUUGAUAGUCCUUUUAUAGUAAGAAAGCAUCCUAAAUCAUGUCUGGAGAUGUCUCCAGAUGAUUAGCUGUGGGUAUUCUUAGUCCCUCUGAGUCUAGUUUUAUUUUGCUCGCAGGAACCAUUCGUACAAGCAGAACAACAUGCGUGCUCUUGAGUUAUUUUCCAUUUGGCUAAUAUGUCUAAACUUCUCCUAACUGUUUAAAAUAUGUGCCCUUACUCAAACUCUGUGCGUGAGUAUGGGGAGAUAAAAAGGCUUGUGUAUCAGUUAUAUCUUAAACUAAUCCAGCGUGACAGAAGAUGCUUUCUAUCACAGCAGAUAAUCCUACCUUUUUUUCCCCCUUCUCUUACUGGUCACUGCAUGUGCAGAUGAAUGCCUCCUCAUUACCGAGUCUAUGCAUCAACUUGCAUCUUCUCAGCAUCUUGUUUCUAGUCUGAUAUUUUCCAGCAAUCUUGUAUUCACUGAUCUUCGUCUACCUUAGAAUGGAAAAAAAAAAACCAAAAAACUGUUGAAGUUGUAUUUAUGAAUCUAUUACUCACUGGCAAUUUUUCAUAGUUAUCAUUAAAGAGUGAUGAGUUCAGUCGAAGAUGUGAUGAAGUUAAUGGAAGUCUUUGCAUUGAUUUUCAUUUUUAAUUUUUAUUUUCCCUCUAUACGUUCCAGUGCCUGUGCGUGUAUUCAUUUUAUGUACUUUGGAUCAAUUCCCU
rnacentral:lncRNA from 1 species